GGGGAUGUCAAAGCUAAAAAUCUUUCGGAAUCAUGUUGUGUUGUAUUGUGAUUCACAUUGGUUUUUAAUUUCAAUCGUUUUUAAGAUGAAAUCAUUAUUUUUAAUUCAUUAAAGUCAGUUGGAAUAAAAGCAUCUACUACAGCCGGUGGAAACUGUCGUUCAUGUUUCCGGAAGAUUCAACAAAAAUUUGAACAAAGAUGCGGUCAACUAGCAGGAUCCGGAAGACCGAAAGCCAAAAAUAUGCCGGGGAAAAGUUUGUUGUUCGUUCGAGCUUCGGAAAUUGAAUACGAAAAGUAACAUUACAUCUGGUGUGGUGCUAUCCAAUCUGCAUCAGAGUAAAACCAAGGGAAUAUGAGUUUUGGUUAUUCAAGCGCUGCCGUGAGACGCCGCCGGCUGUUUCCGUUGAAUUUGUGUUUUAUCAGUAUCUGCUUUGUACAAUGAAAGUGAAGGCAGCUGAGGCUCCCUCCACCACCAAGAAGCAGGACGAAGAUCAGCUCCAUUCCAUUACGGCAAGCAGAACCAUUCCCGAUUCAAGUAUGAAGAGGAA